rnacentral:lncRNA from 1 species
AUGGGGAGAUCUCCGGUGCUGGACACCCAGAACCCCAAGAGAACCUGGCAGAAGCUCGUCUCUAUGUUUGAGGACAUUCCCCAAGGGUGUGGACAAUUCUCCAUGGUGAGGAACAGAGCGUUCCAGCCAGCAACCAUGUGAGUAAGCUUGGAAGUAGGUUCUCCAGCUCCAAAGAAGCCUUGUGCUGAGUAUAUGCUGUCAUCGGCUGCAUUAUAACCUGUGAAGGAUCCCAAC